UCUCUUACAUUCUAUUCCCCCACAGCAGGGAGUAGGGGCAAUAACAUUGAGAGGAGCCACUACUGCUCUCACCACUCAACUCCUGGGUUGGGAAGUUUUCCUUGCACAGGUGAAGAAGGGCAAGGGCUUAAAUACAUGUCCUGAACAACGAAAUGAGGAGUGCUCAGUGAACUACAUGGCAGCACAGAGCAGUUUUUUUGAGAUCUGACAACGUCAUAUUGGUAAAAGAAGAAUGGUGGCUGGGCUUAUAUGAGGAAGGAGGGUUCUAGAGACCUGGUACAUCUGCCUCCAGAUACAAAGGAUCAUUUUGGAGUGGGACUUCCCAAAUGUCUAAGUUGUGGAGGGCUUUUAAAUGUUGUUUUGACAGACAAAAGGAGUCUCAAAAUGACUGGGAUGUAUCCAGUACAAUGGACGUGAGCAGACUCAUGAAACAAAACAGUAAAAUUUCCUUUGCUAUUUUUUAUUCUUUUGUCCCCAAAAGAUUGUCCACUAUUCUCAUAUUCUGUGCACUGGUGCUUCUCAGGCAAGUAGGAUUCUUGCAAGAGAGUUUCUGAUAAAAUGAAAUGUUUAACAGAAGCAUCAAUUGGAAUGAGUGAUAAAGGAACAUCCAUAUUUUCAAGAGCUAAAUCUUUUGAGAUCAAAAUUCCUGAAACAAGCUAAUUUGUCUUCAAAAUAUGCAUUAAACAUAAGCCUGUACUAUUUUCAGGACUCAACCUCUGUGUCAGACAUAGAUUUCCUAACCUGCUGUGAUAAAGCAAUUACCUCAGGCUUUGAAGUCAGCUAUGAGAAACUUUUUAAGGAUUCCAUAGUCUGGUGGAGACAUCUGGCUGGAAAACAGAAAUUAGUGCAAAUUUAUUGCAUUAACCUAAGAAAUAUUUGAGCCAAAACCCUCAACAGAACAACUGAUACUCUUUAAGGCUGAAAAUGUAUUUCAGAAAGUAGAAUGUCUAUAAAUACAGUGGAUGUUUAGACUCUAAAAAUAAAUGAAGUUAUUUUGAAUUGUCUUUUCUUUUGAAUUGUCUCAACCACCUUCUGUUAGCCACUGACUAUAAGAAGCCACUGAGAUAACUCUCCAGUAAAAUGUAAAUGCUAUUUAUCCAA